GACCUAAUGGUGAAAUCAGAUCGCGUCCGCGUUUCAUAUCAAGCAGGAACGGUCUGCGGAAGCCCCCCGUUCGAUCCGGGGUUGGGUCA